CAAUAGCGUAUAUUAAAGUUGUUGCAGUUAAAAAGCUCGUAGUUGAAUUUUUGCUUGCCGCCGAUGUCGGAACUUCCGUACGUUCGGCGGCGUGCAUCCUUGGGUGGAACCUGUGUGGCAUUAGGUUGUCGUGCAGGGGAUGCUCAUCGUUUACUGUGAAAAAAUUAGAGUGUUCAAAGCAGGCUUACGCCGUUGAAUAUAUUAGCAUGGAAUAAUAAGAUAGGACCUUGGUACUAUUUCGUUGGUUUGCGCACCGAGGUAAUGAUUAACAGGGACAGUUGGGGGUAUUCGUAUUCCAUUGUCAGAGGUGAAAUUCUUGGAUUUCUGGAAGACGAACUACUGCGAAAGCAUUUACCAAGGAUGUUUUCAUUAA
rnacentral:rRNA from 1 species